rnacentral:tRNA from 1 species
GCGGGAGUGGUGAAAUGGCAGACACGCAUGCCUUAGGAGCAUGUGCCGCAAGGCGUGAAGGUUCGACUCCUUUCUCCCGCACCA